rnacentral:rRNA from 1 species
CGGCAACAGCUCAAAUUUGAAAUCUGGCUCCUUUGGGGUCCGAAUUGUAAUUUGUAGAGGAUGUUUCGGCGUUGGCGCCGCCCAAAGUUCCUUGGAACGGGACGUCAUAGAGGGUGAGAGCCCCGUGUCCGGGCGGAUGUCUUUGCCAUGUGAAACUCUUUCGAC